GUACUUGCUUCUGCAGCGCAUAUACCCAAACUGGAACAAUACAGAGAAGAUUAACACGGCCCCUACACAAGGACGACACGUAAAUUCGUGAAGCGUUCCUUAAUUUU